rnacentral:rRNA from 1 species
UGAGGAAUAUUGGGCAAUGCCCGCAAGGGUGACCCAGCAACGCCGCGUGGAGGAUGAAUGUCGUAAGAUUGUAAACUCCUGUUAGAGGGGAAGAAUAGUACCGGUUGGACCGGUAUAUGACUGUACCCUCAGAGAAAGCCCCGGCUAACUACGUGCCAGCAGCCGCGGUAAUACGUAGGGGGCAAGCGUUGUCCGGAUUUACUGGGUGUAAAGGGCGCGCAGGCGGGAUAAAAAGUCAGUGGUGAAAUCCUACAGCUUAACUGUAGAACUGCCUUUGAUACUUUUAUUCUUGAGUGCGGGAGAGAGAGACGGAAUUCCAGGUGUAGUGGUGAAAUACGUAGAUAUCUGGAAGAACACCAGUUG